UGUGUACCAUGUGCCCGAUAGCUAAGAUAUCUUUUGUGUUUCUAUUUGCAGUGAUGGAGUUCUAUCUUGUAACUUACCUCUAAGAGGUAAAUCCUGGCUCCACUUAUGUAUUGCUUUGUGCAUGGGUCUGCUUGUGUAUAGGUCUCCAGACCUAGAGCUGGCCCCAGACCCUGUUUUCUCCUAAGGAGACUUCUCAAGUCUGUGGUGACUUCCUGUCUGCCUUCAGAGCCUUUGGGGGUGUGGGAGACGCAAGCCCCAAACAAGGGUAAGAGCAAGUGAGACAAAAUGGUGUCCAGCAUAGAAACUGAGGGUUGUGCUUGGAGGCAGGGGCUCUGGGAUCCUUUGGGGCAGGGAGGUCAUUUCCAUCUGCCACAAUUCUGUCCCCAAAUCUCUGGUAACAGUGGGAAGAGAGUACAGCAACCAUCAUUUGUUUCUCAUUUUUCACUCUGAUUUUUAUCUUUUUUUCUGUUUUAGGUGGUUUGAUUUUCCACCUUUGUCUAGGUUUUUAAUUGGAAGGUUAGGUUAUUGGUUUCAGAUCUUUCCUUUCUAAAAUAUAUACAUUUAAAAAUAUAAAUUUUUAAGCCCUUUUUUUACUUUUGAUGUAUUGUUAUUUUCAAUCUGAAAAUGUUUCAAAUUUUAGUGUCAUUUUUAUGGCUCACUGGCAGUUUGGGAGUUUGUUUUUAACUUCCAUGUAAUUGUGAGCUACUGUAAUAUUCAGUUAAUAAUUUUCUGUUUAAAUCUAUUUUGGUCAGAGAACAUACAUUGUAUGAUUUCAGUUCUCAAAUUCAUUGAAGAUAUUUUAUGGUCUCGCAAAUGGCCUUUUCUGGAGUAUGUUCCAAGGGCUUGAAUAGAUUGGGUAUUCUGUUGUUGGGCAUUGUGUCUAUAUAUACAGAUCUGUAAAUUCAAGUUGUUUUAUAAUGUCCAAGACUUCUAUACAAUUGUCAGUCUUUUGGUAGUUCUAUCGAUUAUCAAAAGUUGCAUUUGAUGUAUCUGAAUAUUUACAUAUGACGGUCUGUUUCACCCUUAAUUUCUUCUCUAUUUUUAUUUGAUGUUGGAGUUGUUUGCUGCAUGUAUACCUGUAAUUGGUACAGUGUCCCCCUGGCUGACAUUUUUGCAAUAAAUGACACUCUUUAUUCCUAGUA